ensembl:lncRNA
GGGGGGCCCUUUAGAGUAAGACUUGUCUUCCAAGCCACAGAGCUAUCGUCUGGAGCUAGUAAGCUGCUGAUCAGUUUCCUUCCUGCUAUCAACUGGUUUUGUAUCACUCAGGGCUAUUGUCAGUGACUUAGCCCUGGAGAGGCAUACAGAAAAGAUAAAAUGAGGAAUGUUUUGGCAUCACCACCAAAACAGCUUCCCCACCAGCAAGUUUGAAGUGUCAGAGGAAGAUGUGACCACCACUGGUGUUUUGGGUUUUGUGGCAUGAGUAGUAAAGAGCCCUUUAAAUGAGGGGUACUGAACACCCCUCCCCAGCAGUCUGGCUGGCCAGACUGUAGGGCUGUGAGGUGGACUGUGUGUGCAGGAAGGAUGCUAGUUGUCAGGGCCUGGCUCCCAGACACGGCCUCUAGAGCAGAGGAAGGCAAGAUGAACCUGAGGUGCUAUUGGCCAAAUGCAAGCCAGUGCUUGUUGGACCAGGCUGAUGCCUCCUUUCCUGGUUUAUUCAUUACCUUCAUCUUUCAUGCCCUGGCUUUGGAAGCCGUACACUCUGCUGGAUGCACAGCUGUGCAGUGUGCCCCUGGGUUCCAGCCAGCCCAGUAAGGCCCAGGGAUGGAGGUCGGGCUGAUCAGGAGGCUGGUCUGCCUGGGGCUCUGCUGGGGGCUGUGGCCUCCCGGCUGAGAGCUAACCACUGUGCUGACUCACCAUGACUGUGGUUGAGAAACAAACCAGCAAGUCAGUGGCUCCCAUGAGCUCAGGAGCCGUGAAAUAUAGGCCAGGGAGCCUCAGCCGGAAGGGGCUUCAGUUAGUAAGAAACCAACGUUUUUGCCUUCUCGCCAUAUUCUGAUGUGGAGUUACAAAGGGCCCUGGAGGACCCUGGGCAUUUCCCUCUCUUGUCCCUUGGGGGACCGUGAAACCACAUCAGGAAAUAGGCGAAAGGGUGGGAACAGCAUUUGUGUCCAGGCCUUUCUUGGUCUUUCUGCUGUGGCCAAACCUGCUAGGCUCUUUAGCUUCCCUGAGAAUUGCAAUGACCUCUUCGGAGACCUUGAGCACACUCCAGACCAGGGUAGCCCUGGUCCUGCUAUAAAGUAAUUCUCGUUGACUGUAUAAUGGUGUGGAAGACACAAUGACAGGUCUCCAAAGAUGUUCACAUCCUGAUCCCCAGAUCCUGCACAUAUGUUACCUUACUCAGCAGGUGUGGUUAGCACAUUGGACCUUGUGCUGGAGAGGUUAUUCUGGAUUAUCGAGUGGACUAUUCUAACCAUGCGAGUCUGUAAAAGCAGGAGACCUUCCCUGGGAGUGCCCAGAGAGAGAAACGUGAGCGUGGAGAAGGCCAAAGAGAAGCUGUGAGAAGGAUUUGAUGCCUCGCUGGUGCUGAGAUACAAGGGGAGGCAUGAAUGACCAGCAAGAGCCCUCUGAGAGCUCAGGGAGACCUGAGCUGACAGCUGGCAAGGAAAUGAGGACCUCAGUCCCACACCCCCCAGAAACUGCCGACACCUGGACCAGCAAAGAAAUGGACUCUCCCUCAGAACCUCCACAAAGGAACGCAACCAUGCUGACACCUCGAUUGCCCCAUGAGCUUUGUGGGAUCUGGCCCACAGAACUCGGACCAAAAAAAAUCUGUGUUUGAAGCUGCUAAAGUUAUGGUAAUUUAUUAUGGCAGGAGCGGAAAACUAACACAAAUGGCUACAAAGUGUAAUGCAUUUAAUUAAUUUAUUUAUUGUCUUUUUUAGGGCCACACCCACAGCAUUUGGAAAUUCCCAGGCUAGGGGUUGAAUCAGAGCUGCAACCUCCAGCCGCAGCCACAGCCACAGCCACAGUCACAUGGGAUUCGAGCAGCAUCUGUGACCUAUAUCACAGCUCACUGCAACGCCGGAUCCCUAACUCACUGAGCGAGGCCAGGGAUCCAACCCGAGUCCGCAUGGAUCCUGGUCAGGUUCAGUACCACUGAGCC